GAAUGGACUCAAGCAUUUAUUAUUAUGGGAAUAUGUACAGGAAUGGAAAUUGAAUUUGAAAGAAAAAUUGAAGGAUAUAAGGAAAAAAGAAAUAAUGAUUGGAAAUAUAAAUUAGGGAGUUUAAUGUUUUUUCAUGUUGGAUUUUUAUGUGUUAUUCAUAUUU
rnacentral:ribozyme from 1 species